rnacentral:rRNA from 1 species
UACGUAGGGGGCUAGCGUUGUCCGGAAUCAUUGGGCGUAAAGAGCGUGUAGGCGGCUCGGUAAGUCCGCUCUGAAAGCCCGGGGCUCAACCCCGGGAGGCGGGCGGAUACUGUCGAGCUAGAGUCCGGAAGAGGCGAGUGGAAUUCCUGGUGUAGCGGUGAAAUGCGCAGAUAUUCGCAAGAACACCGGUGGCGAAGGCGGCCAACUGGACCAUCACUGACGCUGAGGCGCGAAAGCGUGGGGAGCAAACAGG